UGGGGAAUAUUGGACAAUGGGCGCAAGCCUGAUCCAGCCAUGCCGCGUGAACGAUGAAGGCCUUAGGGUUGUAAAGUUCUUUUGUCAGGGAAGAUAAUGACGGUACCUGAAGAAUAAGCACCGGCUAACUUCGUGCCAGCAGCCGCGGUAAUACGAAGGGUGCUAGCGUUGUUCGGAAUCACUGGGCGUAAAGCGCGCGUAGGCGGCUUAACAAGUCAGAGGUGAAAGCCUGGAGCUCAACUCCAGAACUGCCUUUGAAACUGUUAAGCUUGAGUGUCGGAGGGGAUAGCGGAAUUUCUAAUGUAGAGGUGAAAUUCGUAGAUAUUAGAAGGAACACCGGUGGCGAAGGCGGCUAUCUGGACGACAACUGACGCUGAGGCGCGAAAGCGUGGGGAUCAAACAGGAUUAGAUACCCACGUAGUCCCUGAGCGGGCUGGCAAGGCGCAU
rnacentral:rRNA from 1 species